UACGGAGGGGGCGAGCGUUAUUCGGAAUUAUUGGGCGUAAAGGGCGCGUAGGCGGCUGUACAAGUCAAAGGUGAAAUCCCUCGGCUCAACUGAGGAACUGCCUUUGAAACUGUACGGCUUGAGGCCGUGAGGGGGUAGCGGAAUUCCCAAUGUAGCGGUGAAAUGCGUAGAUAUUGGGAGGAACACCAGUGGCGAAGGCGGCUCACUGGCCCGAUACUGACGCUGAGGCACGAAAGCGUGGGGAGCAAACAGG
rnacentral:rRNA from 1 species